rnacentral:rRNA from 1 species
GGCCUGAGGUACUGGAAGGUCCUCAGGCCGAAAGGGGCUCUGCCCGCCCGAGGAUGGGCCGGCGGCCGAUUAGGUAGUUGGUGGGGUAACGGCCCACCAAGCCGAAGAUCGGUACGGGCCAUGAGAGUGGGAGCCCGGAGAUGGACACUGAGACACGGGUCCAGGCCCUACGGGGCGCAGCAGGCGCGAAACCUCCGCAAUGCGGGCAACCGCGACGGGGGGACCCCCAGUGCCGUGGCAACGCCACGGCUUUUCCGGAGUGUAAAAAGCUCCGGGAAUAAGGGCUGGGCAAGGCCGGUGGCAGCCGCCGCGGUAAUACCGGCGGCCCGAGUGGUGGCCGCUAUUAUUGGGCCUAAAGCGUCCGUAGCCGGGCCCGUAAGUCCCUGGCGAAAUCCCACGGCUCAACCGUGGGGCUUGCUGGGGAUACUGCGGGCCUUGGGACCGGGAGAGGCCGGGGGUACCCCUGGGGUAGGGGUGAAAUCCUAUAAUCCCAGGGGGACCGCCAGUGGCGAAGGCGCCCGGCUGGAACGGGUCCGACGGUGAGGGACGAAGGCCAGGGGAGCGAACCGGAUUAGAUACCCGGGUAGUCCUGGCUGUAAAGGAUGCGGGCUAGGUGUCGGGCGAGCUUCGAGCUCGCCCGGUGCCGA